ensembl:lncRNA
AUGGAACUUUCCCUGCUAUCUUUCCAGCAACACCAUUACUCAUCCCAUGGGCAGAGUGGACUUUCUCAUCACUGCCAGUUUUGUGCUACCCGCUGGAAUCCUGCUCCUGGAUUGCCUCAUGAGGUUCCUGUUCAGAGAUGCAUGCUGGCGGGUUGCAAUACCACUGAGAAUGGAAGGUCCAGAGCUGCAGCAGGAGUAAGGAACUUGGAAAAUGCAACUGGUGCGGAAGAGCGAGCAAGGUCACUGGUGACAAGGCUCUGCUCCAUCUGUGCAGCCUUUUCUGCACCAUCCCACCUCUUUGCUUCUGAGGUCAAAUCCAAAGGAGAUGUUCUACAGAGUGAGCAGAGAGUGAGGAAGAUGCUCAGCAAAGAAGCAAGAGGUAUGUCUGUGGUGGAUGGGGGAUCUUAUGCAUGCAUUCAUUUGAAAUAUUGGAGUGUUUCUGAUGAAGUCCCAAAGGCACUUAACCCCAAGAACCUCAAAGACAAAAUCUUUCCACAAUAUGACUUUCCCUCAGCUAGCUUUGAGAAGAUAAAUGCUGGCAUUGAUACACGGGUCUGA